rnacentral:lncRNA from 1 species
GGAGCUAGAUAUGUCAGAGAUACGGUCAUUUUGAUUUUCAUUUUAAUCUUGAUUCUGAUCGUGAAUCAAAUGUGUUGUUAUAGAAUUGGGAUGGGUUUGAGUCAAAUUUUUCGGGCUAAGCCCGGUCGAUACCAGCUGAACCUUCGUGGCAGAAGAGGGUGAAAAUGCGGUGCCACGAGAACGGCAGAUAAAUGGAUCAUGGAAUGGGAACGAAGAGAGAACGGC